rnacentral:rRNA from 1 species
UACGAAGGGGGCUAGCGUUGCUCGGAAUUACUGGGCGUAAAGCGCACGUAGGCGGAUUGUUAAGUCGGGGGUGAAAUCCUGGAGCUCAACUCCAGAACUGCCUUCGAUACUGGCGAUCUCGAGUUCGGGAGAGGUGAGUGGAACUGCGAGUGUAGAGGUGAAAUUCGUAGAUAUUCGCAAGAACACCAGUGGCGAAGGCGGCUCACUGGCCCGAUACUGACGCUGAGGUGCGAAGGUCAGGGGAGCAAACGGG